rnacentral:ncRNA from 1 species
CUGCUAACAGUUUGGAGAUGUACGGAAUCAACGGUAAGUUCAGGAUCAGCAGUACGAUGUUACCGACGUACAUAGAGAUGAUCACUGACCAGAAAAUAUCGGGAUGCUCAACAAACAGACGAGGAC